rnacentral:rRNA from 1 species
CCCAAGAGAUCGGGAUAACACCNUGGAAACAGAUGCUAAUACCGGAUAACAACAGAUGAUGCCUAUCAACUGUUUAAAAGAUGGUUCUGCUAUCACUCUUGGAUGGACCUGCGGUGCAUUAGCUAGUUGGUAGGGUAACGGCCUACCAAGGGCGAUGAUGCAUAGCCGAGUUGAGAGACUGAUCGGCCACAUUGGGACUGAGACACGGCCCAAACUCCUACGGGAGGCAGCAGC